GAGCAACCUACCUCUAUCAGGGGGAUAGCCUCUCGAAAGAGAGAUUAACACCGCAUAAUAUAUCUGACCGGCAUCGGUUAGUUAUUAAAUAUUUAUAGGAUAGAGAUGGGCUCGCGUGACAUUAGCUAGUUGGUAGGGUAACGGCUUACCAAGGCGACGAUGUCUAGGGGCUCUGAGAGGAGAAUCCCCCACACUGGUACUGAGACACGGACCAGACUCCUACGGGAGGCAGCAGUAAGGAAUAUUGGUCAAUGGGCGGAAGCCUGAACCAGCCAUGCCGCGUGCAGGAUGACUGCCCUAUGGGUUGUAAACUGCUUUUGUCCAGGAAUAAACCUAGAUACGUGUAUCUAGCUGAAUGUACUGGAAGAAUAAGGAUCGGCUAACUCCGUGCCAGCAGCCGCGGUAAUACGGAGGAUCCGAGCGUUAUCCGGAUUUAUUGGGUUUAAAGGGUGCGUAGGCGGCCUAUUAAGUCAGGGGUGAAAUACGGUGGCUCAACCAUCGCAGUGCCUUUGAUACUGAUGGGCUUGAAUCCAUUUGAAGUGGGCGGAAUAAGACAAGUAGCGGUGAAAUGCAUAGAUAUGUCUUAGAACUCCGAUUGCGAAGGCAGCUCACUAAGCUGGUAUUGACGCUGAUGCACGAAAGCGUGGGGAUCGAACAGGAUUAGAUACCCUGGUAGUCCACGCCCUAAACGAUGAUAACUCGAUGUUGGCGAUAGACAGCCAGCGUCCCAGCGAAAGCGUUAAGUUAUCCACCUGGGGAGUACGCCCGCAAGGGUGAAACUCAAAGGAAUUGACGGGGGGCCCGCACAAGCGGAGGAGCAUGUGGUUUAAUUCGAUGAUACGCGAGGAACCUUACCCGGGCUUGAAAGUUAGUGAA
rnacentral:rRNA from 1 species